CAUGCAAGUCGAACGGUAACGCGGGGCAACCUGGCGACGAGUGGCGAACGGGUGAGUAAUAUAUCGGAACGUGCCCAGUAGUGGGGGAUAGCCCGGCGAAAGCCGGAUUAAUACCGCAUGAGACCUGAGGGUGAAAGCGGGGGACUCGCAAGAGCCUCGCGCUAUUGGAGCGGCCGAUAUCAGAUUAGCUAGUUGGUGGGGUAAAGGCCUACCAAGGCGACGAUCUGUAGCUGGUCUGAGAGGACGACCAGCCACACUGGGACUGAGACACGGCCCAGACCCCUACGGGAGGCAGCAGUGGGGAAUUUUGGACAAUGGGCGCAAGCCUGAUCCAGCAAUGCCGCGUGCAGGAUGAAGGCCUUCGGGUUGUAAACUGCUUUUGUACGGAACGAAACGGCUCUUUCUAAUAAAGAGGGCUAAUGACGGUACCGUAAGAAUAAGCACCGGCUAACUACGUGCCAGCAGCCGCGGUAAUACGUAGGGUGCGAGCGUUAAUCGGAAUUACUGGGCGUAAAGCGUGCGCAGGCGGUUAUAUAAGACAGAUGUGAAAUCCCCGGGCUCAACCUGGGACCUGCAUUUGUGACUGUAUAGCUAGAGUACGGUAGAGGGGGAUGGAAUUCCGCGUGUAGCAGUGAAAUGCGUAGAUAUGCGGAGGAACACCGAUGGCGAAGGCAAUCCCCUGGACCUGUACUGACGCUCAUGCACGAAAGCGUGGGGAGCAAACAGGAUUAGAUACCCUGGUAGUCCACGCCCUAAACGAUGUCAACUGGUUGUUGGGUCUUCACUGACUCAGUAACGAAGCUAACGCGU
rnacentral:rRNA from 1 species